rnacentral:rRNA from 1 species
GAUUUCUGGUUGCACUCGUCUAGCCCGCCACGGUUUCGUGUGUGAGUGCUUGGUCGAGUCGGCCAUCCUUCUAGAGAACGGGCUGCCCUCUUCAUUGAGUGGCAGCUCGCCAUCUAGAUCUUUUACUUUGAAAAAAUUAGAGUGUUUCAAGCAGGCGUUUUGCUAUGAAUACAUUAGCAUGGAAUAAUAAUUUAGGACUUCGGUUCUAUUUUGUUGGUUUCUAGGACUGAAGUAAUGAUCGCUAGGGACAGUUGGGGGUGCUAGUAUUCAGAGGCCAGAGGUGAAAUUCUCGGAUUCUCUGAAGACUAACUUAUGCGAAAGCAUU